rnacentral:lncRNA from 1 species
UGGAGAAGCAUUUGGAGUGUGAGAGGCCUUUUAGAAGAAGGUAUGGGUUGGAGGGUAGGUAAUGGCAAGUCCAUCCUCAUCUAGAAUGAGGAAUGGCUUCCGGGACCUAGGCAAGGGAAAAGUACUGAUCAAGACAUUAAUGUUAACUUUACAACAAUAACAGAUUUGAUCAAUUCAGACCAUUCUACCUGGAGGUUGGAAGUCCUCGAGAAGCUAUUCGACGAAGACCAGAAAAAUAGGAUAAUGACCAUCCUAGUUGUAGGUGUCGAUAUCAUGGACGUUAGAGUUUGGAAGGGGGACAAUACAAGUGAGUACACAGCAAAAAAUAGGUACAAAUGGUUACUUACAGAAGAUACAACAACAAGGGAUGCAACGCUAUCACAAACAACUCUAUAUAAUUUUUACAACAGACUAUGGAAUUUACAACUGACAAGCAAGAUUAAAUUUACAUUAUGGAAAGUAAUAAACAAUUACAUUCCUACUUUCAACAAUUUACAAGCCAGAAGGCUAAUGGUGACGACUAUUAGUCUUUUUUGUUGAUCAAUGAAGGAUUUAGUGAAUUAUAUUUUCUGGGAAUGUCUGAUUUCCAAAAGCAUUCUGCAAGAGGUGGGGAUAGAAACCUCUCCUAACACCCAUGGCCAAAACUGGAAAAUCUGGUUAGCAAAUGUUUUCACCAACAUGGAAGAAGAACAAAGAGAAUAUUUAGCUAUUGCUUUAUGGGUGAUUUGGUAGAAAAGAAAUAAAAUCCACCAUCAGGGCGAAAAGAUGAAUACAGACAGGGUAAUAACAUUUAUCAAAGCAUACAAGGCAGAGAGUACCAGUACAGUAAAAGAAAUAGCAACAUCUGCAGGGUUAUAUAACAGUAUGUGGUCACCACCAAGAGCAAACACGAUCAAAUGCAAUUUUGACGCAGCUUACAACAAUUAUUUGCUUAAAUUAGUUAUGGGAAUCAUGUUCAGAGAUAGUGAAGGACUUAUUUUGGCACUGUGUACUUACCACAACCCCUUUAACACAGACACUACCACGAUGGAAGUGAAAACAUGCCUCCAAGCAGUGACGGUGGCUGAGGCUCCAAGCAGUGACGGUGGCUGAGGAGUUGGGCUUUUGAAAUCUGACAGUAGAAGGGGAUUCUUUGACUGUAAUAAAAAAAAUUGAGCAUCAAAGUUGGAUAAAUCGAACAUAGUAGUGAUAGUUCAUAAAAUAAAAGAAAGAACGCGCAGAUUUGAAACUUUUACAUGCUCUUUCGUGGGACGAUCAGCGAACCAGGCAACGCAUGAGAUGGUUGAAAAAGGCAAGAAAUGGCCAGAUCAAAGGGUAUGGAUUGAGGAGGCCCCUCACAGGGUGGAAAUGAUACUCAGAAAGGAUAGAAGGCCACUGAACGACGGAUGGAAUGGAUCGGAGGAAUAAAUCAUUUAAAAACUCUGACGGUUUCUACUUCGACAAGGACCUAUCGCGGACGAUUUUGGUAUAGACCGACAAAAGAUGGAAUGAUGGUGGUAGACGAGAAGUGUUGAUCAGGCAUUUAAAUUGCGGUCGCGGUCGUGUUUUCGGUCGCGUUGCAUUUAUUGCGAUUACGAACAUAACGGAUGCUAUUGCAGUCAUUGCGGGUAUCGCGGUCGUGAAUUUUAAAAAAAAAUUCACAAAACUUAUUAUAAAAUAUAAUAGCAGUUUUCGCAGUAACGGUUUCGGAUAGUGCCGAUACCGCUAUAUAACGGUCACUAUUUCGAUAACGGACUGCUAUUUAAAUCCCUGGUGUUGAUUACAAGACAAGUGAAGCUACUGGGUUUUCUCAGAUUUUUGGAGUAAUUUGGGUUUAGUCUCGAUGUUUAUUUUACUGUUUUGAUUUUUC